rnacentral:rRNA from 1 species
AAGAGCGCAGCCAGCUGCGUGAAUUAAUGUGAAUUGCAGGACACA